UCCGGUUUGUCACCGGCAGUCUUACUAGAGUGCCCAACUAAAUGCUGGCAACUAGUCAUAAGGGUUGCGCUCGUUGCGGGACUUAACCCAACAUCUCACGACACGAGCUGACGACAACCAUGCACCACCUGUCAUUUUGCCCCCGAAGGGGAAACCCGAUCUCUCAGGUGAUCAAAAGAUGUCAAGACCUGGUAAGGUUCUUCGCGUUGCUUCGAAUUAAACCACAUGCUCCACCGCUUGUGCGGGCCCCCGUCAAUUCCUUUGAGUUUCAACCUUGCGGUCGUACUCCCCAGGCGGAAUGCUUAAUGCGUUAGCUGCGGCACUGAAGGGCGGAAACCCUCCAACACCUAGCAUUCAUCGUUUACGGCAUGGACUAC
rnacentral:misc_RNA from 1 species